CGAAGAUAUCGUGAUUCUCAUUAUUUUUCUCCCAAGAUUUACGUUUCCUCCUUUUCCAUCGCUUAUCCUUCCUUCCCGUGUUCGCUCUAUGGGUUCCCUCGUUUACAGGAGCGCGGAAGUUCAAUUUCUUGAGGAGAUUCAAAAACCUAGGGUAGCAGAGGGCCCAUCAUGUCGCCUGGGGUUCUGAUCUCCAGAGGACGUCAAGAUCGAGAGUGUUCCACGGCAAGAAUUAGGUCGGCAUUGAGACACCAUGAGAUCAACGCCUCUGCUUCAUGAGAUGUCAGUCCUUCAAUUAGGAAAGAUGUCUAAGCAUUCGUUUUGGACGGAACGGGGUGGCCAGGUUAAAGUACACAUUACCCGGAAGGACAUGACCUACGAAGUGAGCUAGCACCUUGAUUCGUUCCUAAAUUGGGGAUCAUGGGCUGUUCAUCAGCAGCAUUUAAGGGUGAGGUCAGCCUUUCUUCUCCUUUUAGCUGGUUUGAGGAAGGGAAGUGAUGCUGUAUUGAUGAUAAACUCUUAAAGAAGCUGAUCAGCUAAUAUUAGAAACAUGUCAUUGAGGUGCUGUCCAGUGGGUCUUGGACCAGGUGGUGAGGAAGGAACCAAUUGAAGCGAGAAGCUCAU